rnacentral:rRNA from 1 species
UACAGAGGCCUCGAGCGUUAGGCGGAAUCACUGGGCUUAAAGCGUGUGUAGGUGGAUGCCUAAGUACCUUGUGAAAUCCCACGGCUUAACCGUGGAACUGCUGGGUAUACUGGGCGUCUUGAGCCACUCAGGGGCUACCGGAACAAGCGGUGGAGCGGUGAAAUGCUUAGAUAUGACAUAGAACACCAAUUGCGAAGGCAGCUUACUACACAGUUAUUGACGCUGAGGCACGAAAGCGUGGGGAUCAAACAGG